UUGUUUCACUUAAACUCACCCCUGUUUGCAACAGCUCUGCAAGGCAGCUGUUAUCAACCUAUCUUACAAAGGAGUAAAGAGGCUCAGGGAAGUGACAUGAGGGUCAGCCUUGGCAAGUUAUUUUACUCCCCAGUGUACUACAGUGGUCCGUCUGGCUGCCCCAUGAUCCAGCACCCUAGAAGGAAAAGUUAAAAAUGCCCUCCCGGGAGCUGGAAAUUCUUACAGAUCCAGAAGCCACCAGAGAACCAGGGAAUAGGAAUGAGCUGGCAGCGCUAAGAGGCAGCGUGAGGCUCUCAGGGAAACCAGGGCCACGUUUUUGGACCUUACUCCCUCCCCACCCCUACAUCUCUCUCCCACGAAACCUGCCUUCAGAGCCUCUGCCUGCAAGGACAACCCAGCACUGGAAAUGCCACAGUCAAAGGGCCCUCGGAGCCGCCUUCUCCAGCUUCUCACCCUCAGGAAAGAGCUUAGUCUCUUAAGGACCACCCCCCACCCCCCAUAUAUCCAGGAGCUCAGGACCCCAUCGCUUCCUGUCCUGAGGUCGUGCUCUCCACUGGCCUGUCUCUACUUCAUCUGGUCCCCGUGAGUCCUCAUUUCACUGGGAUAGAGGGGUCAGAGUGAUGAAGGGGCAUCAUCCCAUGUGUUGUUGUUUUGGUGUUUUUUGUUUUUUUUCCUGUGACACAAUCUACCUCAGCCAGUCCCUCUCUUCCUUGCCAGAAUUGGACCCCCUGGGUCCCUGCCUCCUGCUCCCCAAUCUCAGUCCUGCACCCUAGCCUGGCUGCUUAGUCCUUCCCAGAAUCCCUACAGGGUCCUUGCAGUGAGAGAAUAUUUCAGAACCACAGCCCCCCAGAACCUUGGGGUCCCCUAAGCUACCUGCCCUCCACAUCUAUUAUAGAAGAGAAAUGGAGGCCCAGAGAGGGCCAGGGACUUGCCCAAGAUCACACAGAAAGUCAGUGGCAGAGUUAGGCUUUUCCUGGAGCCGAGAGGUAGUUGGGGCCAUCUUAAUUUUGCCAAGAAGAGAACAGGACACUGAGUACCAAAUUCGCCCUCGAUAUCUCUACCCCCAGGAGACCACAUCUCCAUUUCCAGGAUAGACUUCUGUCUCCUAGUUUUCUUGAACUGAUCUCCCAGCUUGUUGACUGCUCCCCAAACCUCUCCAGGCACAACACACCCCUUGUCACACCUCCAUGCACUGAUGUACCACGUGCCUUGUAACUGUCACCCUGGUUAGACAGCACAGACCUCCACUCCUCCCCAGCGGGGGUUCCCCAAAGGAAGGCUUUCUUGGUCCCCUCCUCUCAUCUGUCCCAUCCUGUGUCCCCCCCCCCAAAUCUGCCUAACCCCUGCCAGCUCCCUGCCACACUGAAUCCCACAGAGGCAUGUCACUAGAAGAGUUGGGGAAAGGGAGAGAAAAGGCCAGGGACAGAAAAGCCUGGUGAGGGCCAAGGGCGCUGCAAGUAUCUAGGGAAGAUCUUACCUGGCACCCCAAUGCCCUCCAAAGGGCUAAAGUCCCACAGGUCCUUCCCUUGGAGCGCACCUGGGCUUGGAGUUCACAGAAACCUCAGGCAGUGGGGAGGUUUUCCUGGACAAGGGUGUAUGGGUUGCAAGUUCAAAUGUCUUCAGGUAAUGAAGAAAAGGAGAGAAGGGCAAGUGCCGUACAAUAGGGAGUGGUGGGGACUCUGGAAAACACAGGGGGUACAUGCCCUGCCUAUAGGCCCUAGAACUCAAGUGUUUGAAAAACCCUGUGCUGGCCAAACUAAUCUCAGACUUGGCCCAUGGGCCGCCUGUUUGAAAUCUCUAGUUCAAAAUGCUGAGAAGGUUCGAGGAAGCCGUGUGGAGUCUGGAAACCCCUCUGGGGAAGUCAAGGACAGAAGCCCUGGCUCCCUCUGAGACUUUUCUAAACCCCCCCCCCCCCCCCCCCACCGCCAACUGGCCACCUGAGAAGUGUCUCCCCUUCCCCCCUCAUCUGAAAAGUGGAAAGGGGAGGGAGACCUGGGUGUUCACAGGGUCCCUGCCUGGGGAACCAUCGUCUGAUAAGGGUUACAGGCCUCUCCAUACCUGAAGGGGAAAAGCUGGAGGCUGGGGUAUUCUCCAGUGUUGGGGCCCCCGGUUAGGAGGAGCUUGCAUUGUGUGAAGGGAGAGUCCAGGGAGAGGAUGAGGACCGAAAGCCAAGACCCAACUGCCGCCAUCUUGUGCUGGCCCCUGUCACCCUUUGGCACCUAUCUCUGUCCCAGGUAAAGCUGGAGGUAGGGACAUCAGGGGAGGAGCUACCAAUUCCUAUACUGAUAUGCGUUGUGAGGUCUCCUUGAAAGGGACUGAGUGCCAAGCCAUAUAUGGGCAGCAGUGGGCAAGGGGGCUAAGUCUCCCCUCCCCAACCAGAGGGCCUUCUAAGACUUGGGGUCUGGGGGGGCAAAGGGAUUAUAACAUGUCCUUCUGGUUGAGGACAGGCUAGGACACUUCUGGGUCCUUGGUUGUUGCAGGUGGAGGCCAGGGGAGGAAGAGCAGGAAACUAUGGAAGUGGGAAAGGAAGGCCCCUUCCCGGGAUGGCCUGGUUCCUGGAUGCAGACCUCCUUCCCCCACCCCCGGGCAAGUGGGAAGAGGUCUUCCAAUGCCUGGCCUUAUCCACCCUUCAGCAAGGCAGGAUCCGCCCUCUCCCCAGCAAUCCUGGCCUUUUUUCUAUGCACAAUCAUUGUAAGGGCACCCUCAGGCCAGGCUGAAGGGGUGGGGGGCCCCUGGGCACCUGCAAUAAUCCCAGAGUGGAGGGUAGCCUGAGACAAAAGGUGGGGCGAAGGGCAGGGGUGGGGUGGGGAGAAGGGUAUUCCUCUACCCCUCUCUCACCCAAAUAUCCCAGAACCCAAACCAGACCUGUCUCCGUUGGGCUAGCCACCAAACUUGGCAGGGGGAGCGAGGGUGCGCUCAUACAACACAGCCCCCAACCCCCUUGGUUUUCCAAACUCGUAAAAUAGCUAGAAAGGACCCGAACAAUUCCCAGGGCCCCCUCUUAUUAUUUUCACCCCUGGGGAUCCUAUAGUUUGGAAGAUUUUUCUCCCAAACAAGUCUCACUUCUUAAAGAAUAAUUCAUCUUUCCACAUUAAAGUAACUCAAGCUGAGCUUCUGAUUGCAGAUAAAGGCUACCAAGGCCUCAGGUUAGCUUUUAGGGCUUGAGGGUUGGAGAAUGUCUGUAUUAUAUUGGAGUGUUUAAUACACAAUUCUGAAGAGCACUCAUGGGCCCCCAUUCCUGCCUCCAGGGUUCCUUAGGGUCUGGGACCCCAAGUUGGGAAUCUAUGUGUCCAGCCUCCUGUUUUAUGGAAGGGGAAAGGCCUAUGGAGGCAACCAGCCCAAGGUCACUGGGCCGUUGGUGGCAGGGUGGGACCACAGGCCACGUCCUUUGGGGGUCCCACCAGAACACUCCCAGCACUGAUGCUUCCCUUUCCACUCUGUCUCCAACUCCAGGAACCACUAGCCAUGGCUAAGGGGCUGAUUUCCCUCCCUCAGCACAAUUCUGGUGAUUCUCCCCUCCAGGUCCUCUCUUUGCUCCCUAAUCAGUCCCGCUCUGGCCCACCCCUGUUUCCUAUUCCUUCCCGGUCCCACCUCCUGGUAUUUACUACAUCUGUGCCAUCCUCAGUCCGCCACCCCCACUCACCCCUCUGCGCUUCCCCCAGGAGGGGGAGGAGACCCCAAGCUGGGGCUUCUGUACUGAGACUCUUUUGUACACCACAAACUUUUUGUAUAUUUUUAAUUUUGCUGCAACAUGAGAUAUUAAAAGUCAUUUCAGUACGUGC
rnacentral:lncRNA from 1 species